UAUGGAGGGAGCUAGCGUUGUUCGGAAUUACUGGGCGUAAAGCGCGCGUAGGCGGCUUUGUAAGUUAGAGGUGAAAGCCCGGGGCUCAACCCCGGAAUUGCCUUUAAGACUGCAUCGCUUGAAUCCGGGAGAGGUGAGUGGAAUUCCGAGUGUAGAGGUGAAAUUCGUAGAUAUUCGGAAGAACGCCAGUGGCGAAGGCGGCUCACUGGACCGGCAUUGACGCUGAGGUGCGAAAGGCGUGGGGAGCAAACAGG
rnacentral:rRNA from 1 species